rnacentral:rRNA from 1 species
AGAGUUUGAUCAUGGCUCAGGACGAACGCUGGCGGCGUGCUUAACACAUGCAAGUCGAACGGUGACCUCGGAGCUUGCUCCGGGUGAUCAGUGGCGAACGGGUGAGUAACACGUGAGUAACCUGCCCCAGACUCUGGGAUAACCCCGGGAAACCGGAGCUAAUACCGGAUACGACACGAAGAGGCAUCUCUAUCGUGUGGAAAGUCUUUCGGUCUGGGAUGGACUCGCGGCCUAUCAGCUAGUUGGUGAGGUAACGGCUCACCAAGGCGACGACGGGUAGCCGGCCUGAGAGGGCGACCGGCCACACUGGGACUGAGACACGGCCCAGACUCCUACGUGAGGCAGCAGUAGGGAAUAUUGCACAAUGGGCGAAAGCCUGAUGCAGCGACGCCGCGUGGGGGAUGACGGCCUUCGGGUUGUAAACCCCUUUCAGCAGGGAAGAAGCGAAAGUGACGGUACCUGCAGAAGAAGCACCGGCUAACUACGUGCCAGCAGCCGCGGUAAUACGUAGGGUGCGAGCGUUGUCCGGAAUUAUUGGGCGUAAAGAGCUUGUAGGCGGUCUGUCGCGUCUGCUGUGAAAAUCCGGGGCUCAACCCCGGACUUGCAGUGGUACGGGCAGACUAGAGUGUGGUAGGGGAGACUGGAAUUCCUGGUGUAGCGGUGAAAUGCGCAGAUAUCAGGAGGAACACCGAUGGCGAAAGCAGGUCUCUGGGCCACUACUGACGCUGAGAAGCGAAAGCAUGGGGAGCGAACAGGAUUAGAUACCCUGGUAGUCCAUGCCGUAAACGUUGGGAACUAGUGUGGGUCUCAUUCCACGAGAUCCGUGCCGCAGCUAACGCAUUAAGUUCCCCGCCUGGGGAGUACGGCCGCAAGGCU